GACGGUCUUCGGUAGUGGCCUUUCGGAUACGAGAUCCGGUGGGCUUCGAUCGAUGGCCGCC
rfam:Rhodococcus sp. B7740, complete genome.